rnacentral:rRNA from 1 species
AGCGAACGCUGGCGGCAGGCCUAACACAUGCAAGUCGAACGAACCUUUCGGGGUUAGUGGCGGACGGGUGAGUAACACGUGGGAACGUGCCUUUAGGUUCGGAAUAACUCAGGGAAACUUGUGCUAAUACCGAAUGUGCCCUUCGGGGGAAAGAUUUAUCGCCUUUGGAGCGGCCGGCGUCUGUUUAGCUAGUUGGUUGAGGUAAUGGCUCACCAAGGCGACGAUCAGUAGCUGGUCGGAGAGGAUGAUCAGCCACAUUGGGACUGAGACACGGCCCAAACUCCUACGGGAGGCAGCAGUGGGGAAUCUUGCGCAAUGGGCGAAAGCCUGACGCAGCCAUGCCGCGUGAAUGAUGAAGGUCUUAGGAUUGUAAAAUUCUUUCACCGGGGACGAUAAUGACGGUACCCGGAGAAGAAGCCCCGGCUAACUUCGUG